rnacentral:rRNA from 1 species
UAUUAUUUAAAAUGUAAGUAAAUUUAUUAAAGUAGUAGUAGUUAUGUUCUUGAAACUUAAAAAAUUUGGCGGUAUUUUAAUCUCUCCAGAGGAACCUGUUUUGUAAUCGAUAAUCCACGAUGGACCUUACUUAAGUUUGUAUUCAGUUUAUAUACCGUCGUUAUCAGAAUAUUUUAUAAGAAUAAUAAUAUUCAAUAAUUUUUAAAAAAAUUUAUAUCAGAUCAAGGUGUAGCUUAUAUUUAAGUAAUAAUGGGUUACAAUAAAAAUAUUUAAACGGAUAAAAUUAUGAAAAAAUUUUUGAAGGUGGAUUUGGUAGUAAAAUUAUAAAGAUAAAUAAUUUGAUUAUAGCUCUAAAAUAUGUACACAUCGCCCGUCGCUCUUAUUAUUAAGGUAAGAUAAGUCGUAACAUAGUAGAUGUACUGGAAAGUGUAUCUAGAAUGA